UAAGACGAACCGUACGAACGUUAUUCGGAAUCACUGGGCUUAAAGGGUGCGUAGGCGGCGCUGAAAGUUGGGUGUGAAAUCCCUCGGCUUAACCGAGGAAUUGCGCCCAAAACUGCAGUGCUUGAGGGAGAUAGAGGUGAGUGGAACUUAGGGUGGAGCGGUGAAAUGCGUUGAUAUCCUAAGGAACACCAGUGGCGAAAGCGACUCACUGGGUCUUCUCUGACGCUGAGGCACGAAAGCUAGGGUAGCGAACGGGAUUAGAUACCCCGGUAGUCCUAGCCGUAAACGAUGAGCACUGGAUUGAAGGGUCCUCCACAACCCUUCAGUCGUAGCGAAAGUGUUAAGUGCUCCGCCUGGGGAGUAUGGUCGCAAGGCUG
rnacentral:rRNA from 1 species